rnacentral:misc_RNA from 1 species
GAUGAAGAACGUAGCGAAAUGCGAUAAGUAAUGUGAAUUGCAGAAUUCAGUGAAUCAUCGAAUCUUUGAACGCACCUUGCGCUCUUUGGUAUUCCGAAGAGCAUGCCUGUUUGAGUGUCAUGAAAAUAUCAACCUUGACUUGGGUUUUGUGCUCUAGUCUCGGCUUGGAAUUGGGUGCUUGCCGCUUUUACGAGCGGCUCACCUUAAAUGUAUUAGCUGGAUCUGUCUUUGAGACUUGGUUUGACUUGGCGUAAUAAGUAUUUCGCUAAGGACAUUCUUCGGAGUGGCCUCGUUUCUAGGACGCUUGUCCGCUUUCCAAUACAAGUUCCACCUCGUGGACAUGACUUUUUAUUAUCUGGCCUCAAAUCAGGUAGGACUACCCGCUGAACUUAAGAAUACAAUAAGCGGAGGA